UCGAGAAUUUUGGGCAAUGGGGGCAACCCUGACCCAGCAAUGCCGCGUGCGGGAUGAAGGUCUUCGGAUUGUAAACCGCUGUCAAGAGGGACGAAUACAAUUGACGGUACCUCUGGAGGAAGUCACGGCUAACUACGUGCCAGCAGCCGCGGUAAUACGUAGGUGACAAGCGUUGUUCGGAUUCAUUGGGCGUAAAGGGUCCGCAGGUGGUUUGAUAAGUCUGACGUGAAAUACCGGAGCUCAACUCCGGAACUGCGUUGGAGACUGUUGAACUGGAGUAUCGGAGAGGAAAUUGGAAUUCCAGGUGUAGCGGUGGAAUGCGUAGAUAUCUGGAAGAACAUCGACAGCGAAGGCAGAUUUCUGGACGAUAACUGACACUCAGGGACGAAAGCAUGGGGAGCAAACAGGAUUAGAUACCCUGGUAGU
rnacentral:rRNA from 1 species